GACUGAAACUGAAGCUAAGAGAGGUUAAGUGACCUGCUCCUGGUAAAACUGUCCCAAGCGUUCCAGCUGGGCGUGGCUCCCAGACGUGUGUGACUUCAGUCACAGGAGGCCUGCAGGAAAAGAGCCAUGUGUGCCUUCUUGAUUUAUAGGUACCGAACAGAGAGAGGCC
rnacentral:lncRNA from 1 species